rnacentral:rRNA from 1 species
UACAGAGGUCUCAAGCGUUUGUUCGGAUUCAUUGGGCGUAAAGGGUGCGUAGGUGGCGCCGUAAGUCAGGUGUGAAAUUUCGGAGCUUAACUCCGAAACUGCAUUCGAUACUGCCGUGCUUGAGGACUGGAGAGGAGACUGGAAUUUACGGUGUAGCGGUGAAAUGCGUAGAUAUCGUAAGGAAGACCAGUGGCGAAGGCGGGUCUCUGGACAGUUCCUGACGCUGAGGCACGGAAAGCGUGGGGAGCAAACAGG